rnacentral:lncRNA from 1 species
GAGAGUUAGGAGCUUCAAGAAAGUUGUAGGAUCAACUUUUUGUGGUGAUACAACAAUCCCUGUUGCACAAAGAAUCAAGAGUCAACUACCUCCUAGAAGAAGAGAAAAUAUUGGACAGAAGAGAGGAAGAGUUGUAAGUACAGAAGAUGUUGGAGAAGGUGGAUCAAAAAGGUCUAAGAAUGCUGGAUUUGGGAUCUACACAAGUGCA